CGACCUGGCCCUCGUGCUGGCCCGCCUCCACCGAGCCAACCCUGCGCCGGAGCUCUUCCUUCCCCGACCUUCUUCCCCGCUGACGCACCCACACCCCGACCGGCAGCAAAGCAUCCCACCCGAGCGGACGCGCUCCUUGCCCACAGACCGGCGCCGACGCGGCCCCGCGCCCAACUUCUCCCUCCAGUCGUCGUCCUACGUCCCGCCGCGUCGAUCCCUCGCCGGGUCGAUGCAUCCCACGGCUGGGACCUUCGAUCCCCGUCGGAUCUGGGCCGAAGGUUGCGGCUGCUUCGGCUGGCCCCUGCAAAUUCCAACCAUCGACGACGCCCCUGCUCGUUGUGGACUCGUGGACCUAUGAAUCCACAAGUCAACAUGUAGUGCCGGAGCAUGGGCUGCAUCGGCAAGGUCGACAAGGCCAUCAGGCCAUGGCCUUCGUGAGAACCUUCACAGAGGUGGAAAUGGCGGUGGGAGAUGUCGGCACUGGAGUCGUGGCCGUGGCGGGGAAGAUGAAGCGGGCGGAGCUAUGCCAGUGGCUCAAGAGGAAGACAAGGAAGGAUGUGAAGAUUUUUUGUCCUCGUCCACCGGCUGAGAAUCUUGUUAAGCAGGACCCCCAAACAAAACCUUUCCAAGCUAUCAAAGUAAUGCCCAAGUAAGGAAACCUCUACCAGCAAUCACCUACUCUCCAGGACGCAGUACAAAACAUUGCAGGAUAUUAGAGAAAUGAGGGAAAACGCAAUGGGAGAAAAGUUUGCACCCACGAUGAACAAAGGUCCUUUCGAUGGGGUGGAUUCACUGCCCCCGUCCUCCUUUUGCAUGUGGGAGAAGAAAAGAAGAAGAGUGUGGGGACAGGUGGGGAGAGAAGAAGAAAGGAGGGAGGGGCCAAUGGGCGCAGGGGCAGUUGAGAGGAGAGAAGCUGGGUGGAAGGGGGGACAUGGGAGACGGUCGUCUCUUUACUUUCCAAAUCUGUAUUGAGGGGGGACC